AUUGAACGCUGGCGGCAGGCCUAACACAUGCAAGUCGAACGGUAACAGGAAACAGCUUGCUGUUUCGCUGACGAGUGGCGGACGGGUGAGUAAUGUCUGGGAAACUGCCUGAUGGAGGGGGAUAACUACUGGAAACGGUAGCUAAUACCGCAUAACGUCGCAAGACCAAAGAGGGGGACCCUCGGGCCUCUUGCCAUCGGAUGUGCCCAGAUGGGAUUAGCUUGUUGGUGGGGUAACGGCUCACCAAGGCGACGAUCCCUAGCUGGUCUGAGAGGAUGACCAGCCACACUGGAACUGAGACACGGUCCAGACUCCUACGGGAGGCAGCAGUGGGGAAUAUUGCACAAUGGGCGCAAGCCUGAUGCAGCCAUGCCGCGUGUAUGAAGAAGGCCUUCGGGUUGUAAAGUACUUUCAGCGGGGAGGAAGGGAGUAAAGUUAAUACCUUUGCUCAUUGACGUUACCCGCAGAAGAAGCACCGGCUAACUCCGUGCCAGCAGCCGCGGUAAUACGGAGGGUGCAAGCGUUAAUCGGAAUUACUGGGCGUAAAGCGCACGCAGGCGGUUUGUUAAGUCAGAUGUGAAAUCCCCGGGCUCAACCUGGGAACUGCAUCUGAUACUGGCAAGCUUGAGUCUCGUAGAGGGGGGUAGAAAUUCCAGGUGUAGCGGUGAAAUGCGUAGAGAUCUGGAGGAAUACCGGUGGCGAAGGCGGCCCCCUGGGCGAAAACUGACCCUCAGGUGCGAAAGCGUGGGGGAGCAAACAGGAAUAGAUUCCCUGGGAGUCCAGGGUGUAUUUCUGGGUGGUACAACUUAGUAGAUCCCGCGGUCGGGUGUUGGUAGUUCCGGUAUCGGAUUUGUUCUGAAAAGAAGGUUAUUAGGUUCUAUAGAAGGUGAGUUGUGUGUUGU
rnacentral:rRNA from 1 species